rnacentral:rRNA from 1 species
GAUGAACGCUGGCGGCGUGCCUAAUACAUGCAAGUCGAGCGAACAGACGAGGAGCUUGCUCCUCUGACGUUAGCGGCGGACGGGUGAGUAACACGUGGAUAACCUACCUAUAAGACUGGGAUAACUUCGGGAAACCGGCGCUAAUACCGGAUAAUAUAUUGAACCGCAUGGUUCAAUAGUGAAAGACGGUUUUGCUGUCACUUAUAGAUGGAUCCGCGCCGGAUUGGCUGGUUGGUAAGGUAACGGCUUACCAAGGCAACGGUGCGUAGCCGACCCUAGAGCGGGUAGCGGCCCUCUGAAGCUGAGAGGCGACCCUGGCACUUAGGGGCGGCCGCGGUAGGUACUCUUCGGAACUGUGCGAAAGACUGCCGGAUCGGCGGCGGGCUGAUGAAGAAGGGCUGCGGGCCGUAAAACGCUGUUAUGGUGGAAAAACAAUUUUGUAUGUAACGAAGCGCGUCUGACGGUAACGGAUACAGAAGCCCCCGCUAACUACGUG